rnacentral:rRNA from 1 species
AUUGAACGCUGGCGGCAUGCUUUACACAUGCAAGUCGAACGGUAACAGGUUAAGCUGACGAGUGGCGAACGGGUGAGUAAUGCAUCGGAACGUGCCCGGUCGUGGGGGAUAACGCAGCGAAAGCUGCGCUAAUACCGCAUACGAUCUGAGGAUGACAGCGGGGGACCGUAAGGCCUCGCGCGAUCGGAGCGGCCGAUGUCAGAUUAGGUAGUUGGUGGGGUAAAGGCUCACCAAGCCAACGAUCUGUAGCUGGUCUGAGAGGACGACCAGCCACACUGGGACUGAGACACGGCCCAGACUCCUACGGGAGGCAGCAGUGGGGAAUUUUGGACAAUGGGCGAAAGCCUGAUCCAGCAAUGCCGCGUGCAGGAAGAAGGCCUUCGGGUUGUAAACUGCUUCUGUACGGAGCGAAAAGGUCUCCUCUAAUACAGGGGGCUCAUGACGGUACCGUAAGAAUAAGCACCGGCUAACUACGUGCCAGCAGCCGCAGUAA